AUUGAACGCUGGCGGCAGGCCUAACACAUGCAAGUCGAGCGGAUGACGGGAGCUUGCUCCUUGAUUCAGCGGCGGACGGUUGAGUAAUGCCUAGGAAUCUGCCUGGUAGUGGGGGACAACGUUUCGAAAGGAACGCUAAUACCGCAUACGUCCUACGAGAGAAAGCAGGGGACCUUCGGGCCUUGCGCUAUCAGAUGAGCCUAGGUCGGAUUAGCUAGUAGGUGAGGUAAUGGCUCACCUAGGCGACGAUCCGUAACUGGUCUGAGAGGAUGAUCAGUCACACUGGAACUGAGACACGGUCCAGACUCCUACGGGAGGCAGCAGUGGGGAAUAUUGGACAAUGGGCGUAAGCCUGAUCCAGCCAUGCCGCGUGUGUGAAGAAGGUCUUCGGAUUGUAAAGCACUUUAAGUUGGGAGGAAGGGCAGUAAGUUAAUACCUUGCUGUUUUGACGUUACCGACAGAAUAAGCACCGGCUAACUCUGUGCCAGCAGCCGCAGUAAGAC
rnacentral:rRNA from 1 species